rnacentral:rRNA from 1 species
AGAACGAACGCUGGCGGCAUGCCUAACACAUGCAAGUCGAACGAGACCUUCGGGUCUAGUGGCGCACGGGUGCGUAACGCGUGGGAAUCUGCCCUUAGGUACGGAAUAACAGUGAGAAAUUACUGCUAAUACCGUAUGAUGUCUUCGGACCAAAGAUUUAUCGCCUAGGGAUGAGCCCGCGUUGGAUUAGCUAGUUGGUGGGGUAAAGGCCUACCGAGGCGACGAUCCAUAGCUGGUCUGAGAGGAUGAUCAGCCACACUGGGACUGAGACACGGCCCAGACUCCUACGGGAGGCAGCAGUGGGGAAUAUUGGACAAUGGGCGAAAGCCUGAUCCAGCAAUGCCGCGUGAGUGAAGAAGGCCUUAGGGUUGUAAAGCUCUUUUACCCGGAAGAUAAUGACUGUACCGGGAGAAUAAGCCCGGCUAACUCCGUGCCAGCAGCCGC